GAGAGAUCUGAGGUUUGAAGUCAGUGGGUAUUAAAAACUCAAAACGGAUUUCUCUCUCUCUCCCUGUUCAACGCUACGUCUCUGAAGUCUGAACCCCCGAAGAGAAAAUUGGACCACGCCGCCACAACUACAUUCUCAGCACAACGAUUCUCUGCCGUUCGAUUGCUUCGGCAACUCAAACUUGAAAUUGGGUCUCCAACAACUCAAGAAACUAGUUUUCCCUAGAGUUUCAGCUCUAGGCCUCGCUUCCUCACCGACCCUCUGCUCUAGCUUCUUAUUCAGAUAUGGAUGUGGAAGUUGAUCACUAUGUUAUUCUUGGGUUGCCUUCUGGUGAGGAAGGUGCUAAGCUGAGUGCGGAUGAUAUUAGAAAGGGGUACAGAUCGAAGGCUUUGGAGAAGCACCCGGAUAAGAGGCCUGGUGAUAAACAAGCCCUUGCUGAUUUCCAGAGGCUUCAGUCAUCGUAUGAGAUUCUCAAGGAUGAGAAAGCCAGGAAACUGUUUGAUGAUCUUCUUCGAGUUAAGCGUGAGCAGCAACGUCGGAAGGCAGAGCUUGAUUCCAGGCGUGGUUCCAAGCGACAGAAGAUGGUUUCGGACCUUGAAGAAAGGGAACGAGCCGCAUUUGCUCCUGACCCGGAAGCCAAAGCGCGAGAAGAUGAGGAGAGAAUUGCUAGGAAGUUGAAAGAAGAGAUUGCGCGAAUACGUGCAAUGCAUGCAAAUAAAGGGGCGAAUAUGGGAUCAAAUAUUUGGAGGGAGUCAGCAGGAGUUGGAAAGGAGAGUACGAGUAGUGCCGGGGCUUCCACAAUGGAUAAGGAGAAGAUGCUUAAAGUUUCGUGGGAGAAGGUUGGGGAAGACUAUACGGCCGAGAAGUUGAGAGAGUUGUUUUCAAAGUUUGGAGAGGUGGAAGAUGUUGUCAUUAAGAGUUCAAAGAAAAAGGGUUCAGCACUUGUGGUGAUGGCGGCUAAAGAAGGAGCGGUUGCUGCUACGGGAAGUGUAUGUGGUCAUCUUUCUAAUCCAUUGCUAGUUUUGCCACUUCAUCCUCCAAUGACAGCAGGGACUCCGAGUUCUCCCCCAAGAUCUGCAGAGCCUAAACUAAAUAAUUUGGUUGGGGCUGGUUAUACUGCAUUUGAAGAUUCUGUUUUAAUGAAACUCCGGAAGGCUGCAGAAAAGCAAAAAUAGGAAAUGCAGAACAUCAAAGCAAGAGGUUCCUGUGACUCAUGCUCUCCCUGAAUUCUAACACUUACCUGAUGUAAUAAUGACACCUUUCUGCAAACUGCUUCCUGAAGAUUUUGCUGCAGAAAAGUUUCCUAUCUUUUACCCGAUCUAAUGUUACUGACUAAUUCUUUUGAUGUAACCUCAGCAUUUUUUAGGGAGAGCAUCUCUUAGUACUUCGUAGGGCUCAGGUUUAAACUGUAUAUUAACAUGUAACAAUCAAACUAUGAAAGGUUCGAAUAAAAAAAAAAAUGUAAGGUUGAAUCAUUUCAUGUUUGGAAAUCAUUUUAUAUUGUAUCAAAAGAGAAAAGUGGAAAUAACUAGUUUAGUCUUUGUGUAUUUGUGUUAA